rnacentral:rRNA from 1 species
GUUUGAUCCUGGCUCAGAACGAACGCUGGCGGCGCGUUUUAAGCAUGCAAGUCGAGCGGCAAGGGCCUUUGGGCCCCUAGAGCGGCGGACGGGUGAGUAACACGUGGACAAUCUGCCCCCCGGCCGGGGAUAGCCCAGGGAAACCUGGAUUAAUACCGGAUGAGACGGGACCCGCGGAGGCGGGAUCCGGGAAAGGCGCUGCGGCGCCGCCGGGGGAUGAGUCUGCGUCCCAUUAGCUAGACGGCGGGGUGAAGGCCCACCGUGGCGACGAUGGGUAGCCGGCCUGAGAGGGUGGACGGCCACAUUGGAACUGAGACACGGUCCAGACUCCUACGGGAGGCAGCAGCUAAGAAUCUUCCGCAAUGGGCGAAAGCCUGACGGAGCGACGCCGCGUGAACGAAGAAGGCCGUGAGGUUGUAAAGUUCUUUUCGGGAGGGGGAACAACCGUGGCAGGGAAUGGCCGCGGGAUGACGUGAAUCCCGGAAUAAGCCCCGGCUAACUACGUGCCAGCAGCCGCGGUAACACGUAGGGGGCGAGCGUUGUUCGGAAUCAUUGGGCGUAAAGGGCGUGCAGGCGGUCCUGCAAGUCCGGCGUGAAAGACCCCGGCCCAACCGGGGGGGCGCGCUGGAAACUGCAGGGCUUGAGUACAGGAGGGGAUGCCGGAAUUCCAGGUGUAGGGGUGAAAUCUGUAGAUAUCUGGAAGAACACCAAUGGCGAAGGCAGGCAUCUGGCCAUGUACUGACGCUGAGACGCGAAGGUGCGGGGAGCAAACAGGUUUAGAUACCCUGGUAGUCCGCACAGUAAACGAUGUGCACCAGGUGGCGGGGGGGUCGACCCCCGGUACCGUAGCCAACGCAUUAAGUGCACCGCCUGGGGAGUAUGCUCGCAAGGGUGAAACUCAAGGAAUUGAC